rnacentral:ncRNA from 1 species
GUAGUAGAGGUGCGAUUAAAUAAGAGUAUUUCCAUGGAGAAGGGGUUUGAUGAUGUGGAUUGAAAGGAUUUGUCGCCGAAGUUUCAAUAUUUCCCAAAAUGUUGAUUCUGGUUUAACAUUGAAAAAAUGUUAGAUUGUCACCAGAUAUUGGUGGAGAGCUAUCU